UACGAAGGUCCCAAGCGUUAUCCGGAUUUAUUGGGUUUAAAGGGUGCGUAGGCGGGCUAUUAAGUCAGUGGUGAAAGCCCCAAGCUUAACUUGGGAACUGCCAUUGAUACUGAUGGUCUUGAGUACAUUUGAGGUGGGCGGAAUGUGUCAUGUAGCGGUGAAAUGCUUAGAUAUGACACAGAACACCGAUUGCGAAGGCAGCUCACUAAACUGUAACUGACGCUGAGGGACGAAAGCUAGGGGAGCGAAUGGG
rnacentral:rRNA from 1 species